rnacentral:rRNA from 1 species
UACAGAGGGUGCGAGCGUUGAUCGGAAUUACUGGGCGUAAAGCGUGCGUAGACGGUUAUUUAAGUCGGGUGUGAAAGCCCCGGGCUCAACCUGGGAAUUGCAUUCGAGACUGAAUAGCUAGGGUACGGUAGAGGGAAGCGGAAUUUCCGGUGUAGCGGUGAAAUGCGUAGAUAUCGGAAGGAACAUCAGUGGCGAAAGCGGCUUCCUGGACCAGUACCGACGUUCAGGCACGAAAGCGUGGGGAGCAAACAGG